rnacentral:rRNA from 1 species
GACGAACGCUGGCGGCGUGCCUAAUACAUGCAAGUAGAACGCUGAAGAGAGGAGCUUGCUCUUCUUGGAUGAGUUGCGAACGGGUGAGUAACGCGUAGGUAACCUGCCUUGUAGCGGGGGAUAACUAUUGGAAACGAUAGCUAAUACCGCAUAACAAUGGAUGACACAUGUCAUUUAUUUGAAAGGGGCAAUUGCUCCACUACAAGAUGGACCUGCGUUGUAUUAGCUAGUAGGUGAGGUAAUGGCUAACCUAGGCGACGAUACAUAGCCGACCUGAGAGGGUGCUCGGCCACACUGGGACUGAGACACGGCCCAGACUCCUACGGGAGGCAGCAGUAGGGAAUCUUCGGCAAUGGGGGCAACCCUGACCGAGCAACGCCGCGUGAGUGAAGAAGGUUUUCGGAUCGUAAAGCUCUGUUGUAAGUCAAGAACGGGUGUGAGAGUGGAAAGUUCACACUGUGACGGUAGCUUACCAGAAAGGGACGGCUAACUACGUG